rnacentral:rRNA from 1 species
GACGAACGCUGGCGGCGUGCCUAAUACAUGCAAGUCGAGCGAACAGACGAGGAGCUUGCUCCUUUGACGUUUGCGGCGGACGUGUGAGUAACACGUGUAUAAUCUACCUAUAAGACUGGGAUAAUUUCGGGAAACCGGAGCUAAUACCGGAUAACCUCCUGCAGCGCAUGGUUGAACGGUGAAAUACGGUCUUGCUGUCACUUAUCGAUGGAUCUGCGCCGGUGUAGCUGGUUGGUAAGUUAAAGGCCUAUGAAGGCUAGCAUGCGUGGCCGAGGGGCGGGGGUGAUCGGCCACCUGGGAACGUGGCCGCGUUCCAUGCGACUGCGAGAGGGAGCAGUCGGGAAUCUGCGGCAAUGGGCGAAAGCCUGACGGAGCAGCGCCGCGUGAGUGAAAAAGGUCUUCGGAUCGUGAAGCUCUGUUAUUAGGGAAGAACAAAUGUGUAAGUAACUGUGCACGUAUUGACGGUAACUAAUCAGAAAGCAACGGCUAACUACGUG